AUUGAACGCUGGCGGCAGGCCUAACACAUGCAAGUCGAGCGGAUGAAGGGAGCUUGCUCCUGGAUUCAGCGGCGGACGGGUGAGUAAUGCCUAGGAAUCUGCCUGGUAGUGGGGGAUAACGUCCGGAAACGGGCACUAAUACCGCAUACGUCCUGAGGGAGAAAGUGGGGGAUCUUCGGACCUCACGCUAUCAGAUGAGCCUAGGUCGGAUUAGCUAGUUGGUGGGGUAAAGGCCUACCAAGGCGACGAUCCGUAACUGGUCUGAGAGGAUGAUCAGUCACACUGGAACUGAGACACGGUCCAGACUCCUACGGGAGGCAGCAGUGGGGAAUAUUGGACAAUGGGCGAAAGCCUGAUCCAGCCAUGCCGCGUGUGUGAAGAAGGUCUUCGGAUUGUAAAGCACUUUAAGUUGGGAGGAAGGGCAGUAAGUUAAUACCUUGCUGUUUUGACGUUACCAACAGAAUAAGCACCGGCUAACUUCAUG
rnacentral:rRNA from 1 species